AGUAACAUAACGGAACAAAAAAUUGGUCACUUUAACCAGCUGACGUCAAGGCGAAGCAUCGUUUGCGGGAAUCGUGUGAGUCGGUUCUAUUCACACUCUACAGGCAUCGAUUAAAAAUGUGACGCUUUCGAAGCUUCGUUCACUUGUUUGACGGGCCUUGUGUAACAUCAGCCGUUAAUAAAAACACAUUUAAACCAAGAAAAUACUUGAACACAAAAGAAAGAAUCUGUACACGUGGUCGGUGCGUGGAAAAGUUCCCUCAGUAAUAAACGAGAGAACAUUACACGGCUCAACAUGAGUGUGGAGGUGUGAGGCGAGUCGGAGGAGCUGAUGAAGUGUUUGGAUGACGAGUGUCUCGCAGCUCUGCUCGUCUGAGUUCACCGUGAGUCUGUCGUCCUUCAACAGCGUGAAGCUCCACCGCUGGAAGAGUCUGCUCGAGAUGUCAUGAGAAACCAGCAGGACUCUGGGCGUCAGCAUCACCGCACUGGUCUAUGUUAUAUCCUGGAGACGUCUGUACGUUCUGCCCCAUGCCAAUUAAAUUCACUUCAUUGUGUUGUGUUCAGGGCCACAGCACAGCGUGUCAGGACACAUUCAAAGCACUUAUGGUCCUCUCACCGCAUGCCACCCAACACAGGUCUCCUGUUUACUCACCAUGACAACAGCUGGCACACCCUCACCUUUCUGAACGCAGAGACUUGAUCCAAAUAUGAAAGACUGAUAGUGAUUAGCUGAAACUCAUGGACACGUCUGGGUUUGUUUAUAAAAUGUGAACUCGGAGCACAAGAAAGUCUCAAGGAUCACGAGGAUAUUUGUGGAGAAUGAUCCAUUUUCUUUUAUGCCAAAAUCAUAAGUUAUGAAGAUCAUAUUCCAUGAAGAUGUUUUGUCAAUUUUUCUAACGUAAAUAUAUCAAAACAUUAUUUCUGUGAGAGGAUGCAGCAAAACCACUAACAAAGAUUGCCAUAAACACACCUACAAACAUCACUGGCUGCUGUUGCUCUUUGAGAAUGAUACGCUCACGUUUGGUAUCCAUGUUCAAGGCCAUUUUCUCAAUAUUUAGAUGUUUUUAACCCUCACAUGCCAGAGUUUUAAAUAGUCCUGUGUCGGCCAAUCUAUCCUAACAAACUUUAAAGUUUUCGCUAAUCAAGUCACAGUUACAUCUGAAAAGUAUGUUAGAUUAACAACCACUACUUUGAAUUUUAAUGUCAUUUUUUUAUUUAAACAUUAAUAUAAACUGUAACGGGCAAUUAAUGUAAACAGGAAUCUGCAAUCUGACAAUCUGCAAAAGCAUCUUUAACUACAGUUCUGCUCACAGGUUUCAUACCUCUGUAGAAUAUAAACAGGAUCUGGGUUCAUAGAAAUGACAUUUGAUUUAGUGUUCUGAAUAAGUGUGAUAGUUAUUUCUUGUGUAAGUGACUUUUAGCUAAUUGGGACCUUUUGUCUCACAGUUGUGAUUGUAUAACUCAUCAUUUAUGAUUUCUUUUCUUAGAAUUGUGGAUUAUAAUGUCUAAUGAUAGAAAACUGUAAAUCUGAUGAAAAACUCUAAACAUCUCAAUUUUGAAACAUAAGACUGGUUUUGUUGUCCAGGGUCACAAAUGAACUCCUUUAACUCAUUUUAUACACUCCUCUGAUUAUUUGAUUUGACAGGUUAUGUACACGGCUCUCAAAAAUAUAUUAUUUUCUUAAUAUUGUGUCUUUCACCACAUGUCAAAUAAUGUAGUCUUGUAACUCAUAAUGACUCUUCUGGUUAACCAAACGUUUAGUUUUUAUUCUUAAACUAGUCUGGUGUUCAUUGAUGUAAAUGUUUUUCACAAAAUAAACAUUGAAAUGGUUUAUACUUA